rnacentral:rRNA from 1 species
AUAUAGGUCAAGCUACAAAAAGGGCGCAUGGUGAAUGCCUUGGCAUCAGGAGCCGAUGAAGGACGUGAUAAGCUGCGAUAAGCUUCGGGUAGGCGCACAUAGCCUGAGAUCCGAAGAUCUCCGAAUGAGGAAACUCACAUGGGAAACCCCAUGUAUCAUUAAGUGAAUACAUAGCUUAAUGAAGGUAACCCAGGGAACUGAAACAUCUAAGUACCUGGAGGAAGAGAAAGAAAAAUCGAUUUUCUUAGUAGCGGCGAGCGAAAGGGAAAGAGCCCAAACCGGAAACUUGUUUCCGGGGUUGUGGACAUGACAUAAAAGUGGAGGCUAUUGUAACUGAAGAGAACUGGAAAGUUCCACCGUAGAAGGUAAUAGUCCUGUAAGUGAAACGAGAAGACCACGAGUUAUGAUCCAGAGUACCACGAGACACGUGAAACCUUGUGGGAAGCAGGGAGGACCACCUCCCAAGGCUAAAUACUACCUGAUGACCGAUAGUGAAGCAGUACCGUGAGGGAAAGGUGAAAAGAACCCCGGGAGGGGGAGUGAAAUAGAACCUGAAACCGUGUGCCUACAACCGCUCAGAGCCCCUUAUGAGGGUGAUGAGGUGCUUUUUGUAGAACGAGCCAACGAGUUACGGUAUGUAGCAAGGUUAAGUACUUAAGGUACGGAGCCGAAGGGAAACCGAGUCUGAAUAGGGCGACUAGUUGCAUGCCGUAGACCCGAAACCGGGUGACCUAUCCAUGGCCAGGUUGAAGCGAGGGUAAAACCUCGUGGAGGACCGAACCACGUUGCUGUUGAAAAAGCAUGGGAUGAGCUGUGGAUAGCGGAGAAAUUCCAAUCGAACCCGGAGAUAGCUGGUUCUCUCCGAAAUAGCUUUAGGGCUAGCGUCGAGUAUGAGUAGUGGAGGUAGAGCACUGAAUGGGCUAGGGGGCAUAGCGCUUACCGAACCUUAUCAAACUCCGAAUGCCACAUACUUUGAGCUCGGCAGUCAGACUACGAAUGAUAAGAUCCGUGGUCAAAAGGGAAACAGCCCAGAUCGUCAGCUAAGGUCCCAAAGUGUAAGUUAAGUGGGGAAAGAUGUGAGAUUUCUAAGACAACUAGGAUGUUGGCUUAGAAGCGCCAUUCAUUAAAAGAGUGCGUAAUAGCUCACUAGUCGAGAGAUCUUGCGCCGAAAAUGUAACGGGGCUAAACUUACCACCGAAGCUACGGGCUUGAACUUAGUUCAAGCGGUAGGAGAGCGUCGUAACCGGGCUGAAGUCGUACCGUAAGGAGCGGUGGACUGGUUACGAGUGAGAAUGUUGGCAUCAGUAGCGAGAUGUGGGUGAGAAUCCCACAGGCCGAAAACCUAAGGUUUCCUCAGGAAGGUUCGUCCGCUGAGGGUUAGUCGGGACCUAAGCCGAGGCCGAAAGGCGUAGGUGAUGGACAACUGGUUGAUAUUCCAGUACCACUACCAUCGUUAUUAUCGAUGGCGUGACGCAGGAGGAUAGUGUGUGCUAGCUAUUGGAUGCUAGUCUAAGCGUUUAGGCAGUGAGAGUAGGCAAAUCCGCUCUCAUAAUGCUGAGGCGUGAUGGGGAAGGUUCCACGGAACCGAAGUACAUGAUUCCACGCCGCCAAGAAAAGCGUCUAGAGAGAGAAGUAGUGCCCGUACCGCAAACCGACACAGGUAGGUGAGGAGAGAAUCCUAAGGCCGGCGGAAGAAUUACAGUUAAGGAACUCGGCAAAUUGACCCCGUAAGUUCGCGAGAAGGGGUGCCUACGAGAGUAGGCCGCAGAGAAUAGGCCCAAGCAACUGUUUAGCAAAAACACAGGUCUCUGCUAAAGCGUAAGCUGAUGUAUAGGGGCUGACGCCUGCCCGGUGCUGGAAGGUUAAGGGGAACACUUAGCGCAAGCGAAGGUGUGAACUUAAGCCCCAGUAAACGGCGGCCGUAACUAUAACGGUCCUAAGGUAGCGAAAUUCCUUGUCAGGUAAGUUCUGACCCGCACGAAUGGCGUAAUGACUUGGGCACUGUCUCAACUGUAAAUCCGGCGAAGUUGUAGUGCGAGUGAAGAUGCUCGCUACCCGCGAUUGGACGGAAAGACCCCGUAGAGCUUUACUGUAGCUUAGCAUUGAGUUUUGGUAUUGUCUGUACAGGAUAGGUGGGAGACUAGGAAACCAGGGCGUCAGCCUUGGUGGAGUCAACCUUGGGAUACCACCCUGACAGUACUGAAAUUCUAACUGGCGGCCAUGAAUCUGGUCACAGGACAUUGUUAGGUGGGCAGUUUGACUGGGGCGGUCGCCUCCUAAAAAGUAACGGAGGCGCCCAAAGGUUCCCUCAGAACGGUCGGAAAUCGUUCGAAGAGUGCAAAGGCAGAAGGGAGCCUGACUGCGACACCCACAAGUGGAGCAGGGACGAAAGUCGGGCUUAGUGAUCCGGUGGUACCUCGUGGGAGGGCCAUCGCUCAACGGAUAAAAAGCUACCUCGGGGAUAACAGGCUGAUCUCCCCAAGAGUCCACAUCGACGGGGAGGUUUGGCACCUCGAUGUCGGCUCGUCGCAUCCUGGGGCUGAAGUAGGUCCCAAGGGGUUGGGCUGUUCGCCCAUUAAAGCGGCACGCGAGCUGGGUUCAGAACGUCGUGAGACAGUUCGGUCCCUAUCCGUCGCGGGCGUAGGAAAUUUGAGAGGAGCUGUCCUUAGUACGAGAGGACCGGGAUGGACUGACCUCUGGUGUACCAGUUGUUCCGCCAGGAGCACAGCUGGGUAGCUAAGUCGGGAAUGGAUAAACGCUGAAAGCAUCUAAGCGUGAAGCCAACCUCAAGAUGAGAUUUCCCAUAGCGUAAGCUAGUAAGAUCCCUUGAAGAACACAAGGUUGAUAGGUCGGGGGUGUAAGCAUGGUAACAUGUUCAGCUGACCGAUACUAAUAGAUCGAGGGCUUGACCAAU